UACGUAGGGGGCUAGCGUUGUCCGGAAUCAUUGGGCGUAAAGCACGUGUAGGCGGUUCGGUAAGUCCGCUGUGAAAGUCGGGGGGCUCAACCCUCGAAUGCCGGUGGAUACUGUCGGACUAGAGUACGGAAGAGGCGAGUGGAAUUCCCGGUGUAGAGGUGAAAUUCGUAGAUAUCGGGAGGAACACCGGUGGCGAAGGCGGCGACCUGGGACAAUACUGACGCUGAGGUGCGAAAGCGUGGGGAGCAAACAGG
rnacentral:rRNA from 1 species